UACGUAGGGUGCAAGCGUUGUUCGGAAUUACUGGGCGUAAAGAGUGUGUAGGCGGUGCUCUAAGUUUGGUGUGAAAUCUCCCGGCUCAACCGGGAGGCUGCAUCGAAUACUGGAAUGCUAGAGGGUGGGAGAGGUAAGCGGAAUUCCUGGUGUAGCGGUGAAAUGCGUAGAUAUCAGGAGGAACACCUGUGGUGUAGACAGCUUACUGGACCACUUCUGACGCUGAGACACGAAAGCGUGGGUAGCAAACAGG
rnacentral:rRNA from 1 species